rnacentral:lncRNA from 1 species
AAUGAUAAAUUGAGAACACUAAAUUUAUGGGAGGGAAAAUAUAUUAUUUGUUGAGGUUUAUUUAAAAAAAAAAAAAAUUCCGAUGUUGGGCAUGGUGGCAUACACCUUUAAUCUCAGCAUUCCAGAGGCCCAGACAGAUGGAACUCUAUGGGUUCCAAGAUAUCUUGGUCUUUACAGUGAGUUUCAGCCAAGGCUACAGAAUGAGACUGUCUCAAAACAAAAUCAAAAAAUUAUCCUGCUAAGGGAUGGGCACAUCUAUAAUCCCAGGACUUGGGAGUAGAGACAAGAGAACCAGACAUUUAAGGUCAUCCUCAGCUACUUAGUAUAUUUGAAACCUGCCUGGAGCACAUGAAUCUUUGUCUCAAAAAACCCAAAAUAAAUAAAGUUGGAGAAAAGAUAAAAAGUUCUACUUGAACUUCCAUCCCCAGAUAUAAAUAAUCCUUUUUGGUAUUGUUCUCAGUAUACUAUAGUUAUUACUUAAUUAAUAAAUAUGCUCACAUGCUAUAUUUUGUUUUUUUUUUUGUUUUAUUUGUAGGUUUUUUGUUGUUGUUUUUUAGAUUUAUUUAUUAUGUAUAGUGUUCUUCUGCCUAUAUAUAGGCAAGAAGAGGGCACCAGAUCACAUUAGAGAUGGUUGUGAGCCACCAUGUGGUUGCUAGGAAUUGAACUCAGGACCUCUGGAAGAGCAGCCAGCAUUCUUAACCUCCAAGCCAUCUCUCUAGCCCCUGGUAUUGUUCUUUUGAGACAAGGUUUCUCUGUGCAGUCCUGGCUGUCCUGGAACUCAGUCUAUAGAUAUGGCUGGUCUCGAGCUGGGAUCAAAGGCUUGCAUCACAAGGCCUGGCAUAUUUGAAAUUUUUAAGACUUUACUGAUCAGGGAAGCACACACUCUUGCCUCUAUCCCCAGUCUGCUCUGGGGUAAAAGCGUAGACUCCAGGGCUUUGUUUAUACACAUGAAGUACAUCUCCAGCUUGUAUCUUUGCCAGUUUAAUUAGGUGAGAAGGAUUUAUUUGUUGAAGCAAUUCAAGAAGCUGAGUUCUUGCUUUUGUUGUAUGUGUUUAUUCUGUGGAUUUUAAGUCAUUGUUGUUAUUUGCCUAUUAAACAACAUUUAAACUCUCACUUGUUUUAGCGACUGAUUGAAGCCAGGAGGAUGAUGGAUAAGCUCCGGGCCUGCAUUGUAGCAAACUAUUAUGCCUCCGCUGGUCUCCUGAAGGUUUCUGAGGUUAGUGCUCCUAUAGUCUGUUUUCAGCCACCGUUUUCCUUGUCUGAGGGGAAGUCAGGGCUGUGUGGAUUCCCUGCCAUUCAGACAUUUCUUAUAUUGCCUUUAGCAUUUGAUAAGCCUGGCCACCUUUCUGAAGAACAUAGAUCGUCAGGCAAUGUGUUUAACAUGGUGUUGUCCUUUCUGUACUGAUUGCUAGUGUAAUACUAGCAGGGAGACCUUACUGCAACUCCUCCUAGUUCUUCCUCUUUUGCUUUGCCUUACUGAGCAUGCCUUGUGCUUUUAAAUGCUACUUCUUAAUGGUAGUUUUAAGUAUAAGAAAAAGACAAACAUGUUUUGCAUACUAUGUAGAUUCAUCUGUUUAAAAUUCUGUUGUUUUCUUUCCUCUAAAGCAUUUAAAAUUAGGUUUUUAGAUAUCAUAACAUUUCAGCGCUCACUGUAAAACGUUUUUACUCCUUUUUCUCUUUUUCCUGGCAACCGUGUAUUAACCCAGAGUGCCAGUGAAAGACACACAUACACAAUGCCUGUAAAAACACAAAACCAGAGACUAUAAAAUAUAAGCAAAUAAUCAGUAAGAUAAAACAAAACAAACAAAAAGUCAAUAAGGCAUUAUCCAUCCUGUGGGUGUCUUCCCAGGAUUUCUUUGUAUGUAAGGUUCCUUUAAGAAUAUUAGUCCUGGUUGAGGGCUGACCUCAGUCUAGUAUGACUUCAUUUUAAAUUGACUACAUUCUACAAAGACCCCUCUUUUUCUCCUCCUAUUCUCUCUGUGUUUGCUUGUGCCUGUCCUUGUCCCGAGGCUCUCCCAUACGAUAGGUAUAUAAUGUACAAUUCAGUAACACCAACAACCCCUUAGGCUUGUUCUGAAUAAAGCCACAGAUUCUGGGUGGACAUGACUUUGUAGAAUUUGUACUUCCACCCUUCUGGCAUCGUUGAUGGAAUAGCUCAGUGUUGGCUCAGCACAGUGGAUAUCAUGAGCUGAGUUUGCGUGAUGUAAAGGAGACUGUAAGCAGGUACUCACCUUGAAAAGCUGGUGUUGUGUUGACUUAUCACUGGAGUACAUUUCGUUAGGAUGCCUAGAAAUAAACUGAUUUUAGCUCCUGGUGUUCUGAUUAAGAUUUACUAGGGGCUGGAGAUAUGGCUCAGUCAUUGGGUUUACUUGAGUUCAGUUCCCAGUGUCUACAUGGAGGAUUGCAACUCUAACUUUACUUUCAGGGGAUCCAACACCCUCUUCUGUCUUCUGUAGGUAUCAGAUAUUCGCAUGUUGCACAUUUGUGCAUGCAAGUAAAACACUUAUACAGAUAAAAUACAUCUUUAAAAAUU